UAGGGAAUCUUCCGCAAUGGGCGAAAGCCUGACGGAGCAACGCCGCGUGAGUGAUGAAGGUUUUCGGAUCGUAAAACUCUGUUAUUAGGGAAGAACAUAUGUGUAAGUAACUGUGCACAUCUUGACGGUACCUAAUCAGAAAGCCACGGCUAACUACGUGCCAGCAGCCGCGGUAAUACGUAGGUGGCAAGCGUUAUCCGGAAUUAUUGGGCGUAAAGCGCGCGUAGGCGGUUUUUUAAGUCUGAUGUGAAAGCCCACGGCUCAACCGUGGAGGGUCAUUGGAAACUGGAAAACUUGAGUGCAGAAGAGGAAAGUGGAAUUCCAUGUGUAGCGGUGAAAUGCGCAGAGAUAUGGAGGAACACCAGUGGCGAAGGCGACUUUCUGGUCUGUAACUGACGCUGAUGUGCGAAAGCGUGGGGAUCAAACAGGAUUAGAUACCCUGGUAGUCCACGCCGUAAACGAUGAGUGCUAAGUGUUAGGGGGUUUCCGCCCCUUAGUGCUGCAGCUAACGCAUUAAGCACUCCGCCUGGGGAGUACGACCGCAAGGUUG
rnacentral:rRNA from 1 species